UGAACGCUGGCGGCAUGCCUAAUACAUGCAAGUCGAACGGGAGAGUUACUCUCCAGUGGCGAACGGGUGAGUAACACGUAGAUAACUUAUCUUCAAGCCGAGGAUAACAGUGGAAACGACUGCUAAUACUGGAUAGGAUAUUUGAUCGAAUGAACAGAUAUUUAAAGGUGCUUCACGGCACCACUUGAAGCGAGGUUUACGUCGCAUUAGCUAGUUGGUGAGAUAACGGCCCACCAAGGCGACGAUGCGUAGCUGUGCUGAGAGGCAAAACAGCCACACUGGGACUGAGACACGGCCCAGACUCCUACGGGAGGCAGCAGUAGGGAAUUUUCGGCAAUGGGGGAAACCCUGACCGAGCAAUGCCGCGUGAACGAUGAAGGUCUUUCCGGAUUGUAAAGUUCUGUUAUCGGGAAAAGAAUAGCAUGGUGAGGAAAUGCGCCAUGUAUGACGGUACCUGAUGAGUAAGCCCCGGCUAACUAUGUGCCAGCAGCAGC
rnacentral:rRNA from 1 species